AAGAUGGAUGGGUUGUAAACUUCAUCCUCCUGUUCAAUGCCUUGCCAUCUGAGGAGGCUCCCCUGUUUCAAAAAGCCUAGCCACCCUCCCUUCUUCCCUCCCUCGCUCUUCCCCUGCUUCUUCUCCCUCCUCUCCCUCCUCUGCAACUCUCUCUCUCUCUCUCUCUCUCUCUCUCUCUCUCUUUACGUGUAAAACCCUCUUCUAGGGUUUUGCAGUGGUGCCCGGCUCGUCCCUCUUCCGCUCCCCCGGCGAGCGGGUUUUCUUGUUCUUGAUUCUCGGCGAAUCUUGGCGUUCGCCCUCUUACUGUGGUUCUGGCCACUUGCCCAUUUCUUCUCCCGUGCCGGGGUCUCGCCAAUCCUCCUCGACUCUCCGGUUGGGCAUUGGCGGGUCCGUUCCAGGGAGUUGCUCCGGUUCUUGAUUCGGCGGUGCGUCGCUCCUCCAAUUGAGGCCUCUUUACGUUCGAAAGACCGAAUCUUGAUCGCUUUCGCGACGUGGGUGUUUCGUUUCUUCGGAUGGAUGGGUUCUUGGUUUGAUGCUGUGUCUCGAUUCGGGAGCUAUGAGCGGGUUUUCGGUGGGAUGAACGUCGUCGUUAGGGUUUUCGUCGCUCCGGAAAAGUCUGAAUUGCUG
rnacentral:lncRNA from 1 species